AUAAUAGGUUGAAAAAAUCCUUAUUAGGAAGAAGACUUGGACAAAUCCCCGGUCUUAUAGAAGUAGCUAGCAAGUCUAGGCACCUGAUGCAUGUGAGGGUAAGGGAAGGAAGUCUCUUUGGCACGUAUGAGUAGCUGUCACGAAUCGAAGUUUCAAAAGCCAAAAGAGAGAUUUUCCGACAAGAAAAAGGUUGGUUGAGACACGGUUCUUUGGCAUGUAUGAGUAGCUGUCACGAAUCGAAGUUCCAAAAGCCAAAAGAGAGAUUUUCCGACAAGAAAAAGGUUGGUUGAGACACGGGAUGAUAGGGCGGGCGGCCGACUUUCGGUACUUUCUGCCAACUCGAUUUCAAUACUAAGUAAGCUCCUCAUCGCAUAAGUAAGAAAGUUCAGCUACAGAGGGUAAAGAGAGGGGCGGACGAGAGUUCUAAUAAUUCUCUUCCUUCCAUACAGGUCUGCGAGCGUCCCAUCUUUUUCUUACUUGAAUGAAGAAAGACAGAACCCCUCUUUUCGGCCACAGCCAGCAGUUCGCUUUCCACUUCCGAAUACCAAAGAGCGAUUGAGAGAAGAGCAGUACGUAGGAAAGAGUUCUAAUAAUUCUCUUCCUUCCAAACAGGUCUGCGAGCGUCCCAUCUUUUUCUUACUUGAAUGAAGAAAUACAAAACCCCUCUUUUCGGCCACAGUCAGCAGUUCGCUUUCCACUUCCGAAUACCAAAGAGCGAUUGAGAGAAGAGCAGUACGUAGGACUUAAAAAGAGGGUUCCUUCCUCUCUUCACUCUCCGAAUUUCGAUCCUCACCUUUCUGGUGCCAAAGGCCUACCCUUCCACUUUACAGGAAGUUCUAAAGGAAGAGAAAAGAAA
rnacentral:lncRNA from 1 species